rnacentral:lncRNA from 1 species
GGAAAAUACAGUACAAAGUUAAGAUUUUUAUUUGGAAUUUCAGUUUAUAGAAGCAUUUUGACAGCACUGUGGCAAAGCACAAAUAAGAUAUGUGGCCUAGACUGAAUGGUGACUGUGGGGAUGGAGAAGAGGAGAUUUAGGACUUAGGUGAGAGGUCAAGGGCGAACUUGGCUUGAGCUCCUGGGUGGCUGAUAGGCAGGCCAUUGACUGAGGUGAGAAAGCUUGGAAAGGGAGUCCCUAAAUUUAGCGUGGGUUUGCAGUGAAGAAGCUCUGUGUGUUUAUGUUCAUA